AUUGAACGCUGGCGGCAGGCCUAACACAUGCAAGUCGAACGAGUGGCGGACGGGUGAGUAAUGUCUGGGAAACUGCCUGAUGUAGGGGGAUAACUACUGGAAACCGUAGCUAAUACCGCAUACCAUCGGAUGUGCCCACAUGGGAUGAGCUAGUAGGUGGGGUAACGGCUCACCUAGGCGACGAUCCCUAGCUGGUCUGAGAGGAUGACCAGCCACACGGGAACUGAGACACGGUCCAGACUCCUACGGGAGGCAGCAGUGGGGAAUAUUGCACAAUGGGCGAAAGCCUGAUGCAGCCAGGCCGCGUGUAUGAAGAAGGCCUUCGGGUUGUAAAGUACUGUCAGCGGGGAGGCGUUACCUGCAGAAGAAGCACCGGCUAACUCCGUGCCAGCAGCCGCGGUAAUAC
rnacentral:rRNA from 1 species